AUUCCAGCUCCAAUAGCGUAUAUUAAAGUUGUUGCAGUUAAAAAGCUCGUAGUUGGAUUUCUGGUAGGAGCGACCGUGCCGAACUUGAUUGUUCGUGUAUUGUGUUGUCUUCAGCCAUCCUCGUGGAGAACUUUUCUAACAUUAACUUGUUGGAUUGGGACCCGCGUCGUUUACUGUGAAAAAAUUAGAGUGUUUAAAGCAGGCAUUAGCCUGAAUACAUUAGCAUGGAAUAAUAAGAUAGGACUUUGGUACUAUUUUGUUGGUUUGCAUACCAAAUUAAUGAUCAACAGGAACAGUUUGAGGAUAUUCGUAUGAACAUGUCAGAGGUGAAAUUCUUGGAUUUUGAUCAGACGAACUACUGCGAAAGCAUUUAUCGAGGAUGUUUUCAUCG
rnacentral:rRNA from 1 species